UACGUAGGUCCCGAGCGUUGUCCGCAUUUAUUGGGCGUAAAGCGAGCGCAGGUGGUUUAUUAAGUCUGGUGUAAAAGGCAGUGGCUCAACCAUUGUAUGCAUUGGAAACUGGUAGACUUGAGUGCAGGAGAGGAGAGUGGAAUUCCAUGUGUAGCAGUGAAAUGCGUAGAUAUAUGGAGGAACACCGGUGGCGAAAGCGGCUCUCUGGCCUGUAACUGACACUGAGGCUCGAAAGCGUGGGGAGCAAACAGG
rnacentral:rRNA from 1 species